rnacentral:rRNA from 1 species
UGAGCCCUACGGGAGGCAGCAGUGGGGAAUAUUGCGCAAUGGGCGAAAGCCUGACGCAGCGACGCCGCGUGAGGGAUGAAGGUCUUCGGAUCGUAAACCUCUGUCAGCAGGGAAGAACGGUCACUGUGCUAAUCAGCAGUGAAUUGACGGUACCUGCAAAGGAAGCACCGGCUAACUCCGUGCCAGCAGCCGCGGUAAUACGGAGGGUGCGAGCGUUAAUCGGAAUUACUGGGCGUAAAGGGGGCGCAGACGGCGAUGCAAGCC